rnacentral:lncRNA from 1 species
UUAUGAUUACUUUUUUAGGUUAUGAUUACAUAUGUAUCCGAAUGGCUUUCGCCAAUCUGCAAAACCCAUAAUGUACAUCAAGCCAUACAAAGUUAUAAGUAUAACAAAAUUUUUAAUGUAAAGCAAUCCAAACGAGAAAACUCACGGACUUAUUAAUGCAUACACAAAAACAACUGAAUUAGAGGAGCCUGACUUUUUUUUGACAAAAAAACUAAAAUGAUAUUUGUUCAAAUAUAUUAGGGAAAACUCGUGGCAAUUUAAAAAAAAAACCAGCACACUUAUUAAACGUAUAUUCUGAAUAUGGUGUG